GGACAACUGAGUGGCGGGUCACUCAACUGAGCAGCGAGUCACCCAACUCGCUUGCACCUCUAUAUAGGAGUCACGUAGGCAUCUUGAGGAAAUGGGUUGAUUGAUUUUCUUCAAACGAGGCAAUCAAUUGUACUUCGAGUUUGUGAUUUCGUGAAUCUAAAUCUAUAUCCAUCUACACGAGAAAUAAAACCAAAAGGAAAGAAGAAAAUGUCAGAACCCUCGUCAUCAAGAAUAAUUUUCAGAUAUUUCCAGCUCACUGCAUUGAAAUCCUCGCCAAAUAACCUAAACAUCGUCCAAAUUCUCACGUUUCGUACUUGGCUAUUAAUUUCUUCGAGAACCCAUUUCUCAUCAUCGCCCAAUGUUGCAAGAAUUUUCGACAAACUGUACCCAAAUGCGGAAUUUUCGCCGAACAGAAAUUUUAUUGGGUUCAGAUACUUUUCUUUAAAGAAUGCAGUGGGUUCCAAGAAUUUAGUAAAAGAUGCGGCAAAUCCAGCAGUGGCGGUUAAGGACAGUUUUUUGUGGUACAAAGAGGCCUUCUGGAAGAGAAAUUAUCUGAUGUUGCUGGGUGCAGGUGGGAUCGUGGAAAGCAUUCUUGCUCUUUCAUCACGUUUGCUGUGAGUUUUUUACAAUUUGUAUCUGAUUCUGCUCUAUAUUAUUCAUUUAAUUGUUUAGUGUAUUACAUGCGAAGCCAGCCAAUUUAUUGAGGAGUAUAUUAGCAAUUAAGUUACGGAAAUUUUUUAUUGGCUUUCUCAUUGUGAAUCAAAAAUUAGAAUUCACAUUCAUUUUGAAACAGUCUUCUCUGAAUUCUGAAUAACUUUUAAUGUUUGAAUGGUGAUAUACUGAUGAUUGAAUUAUGAUCAAUUGACUCCUCGACCAAUUUACGUCUAUCUCAAUUGAAGCAGACUAUUUUUGGGAAUUAUCCAUUUCAUUUAUGCACUGGAUGGCGGACGCCGCUUGAGACUGCAAUAUUUUAGCAUGUUGUGUACAGCAGAGGAGAUAUUCUGUGCCGUGAUUCAUGUUUGUAUCCUUUUAUAAGGGGGAAAAAUUCACUGAAAAAUCAUAGAUACUUUUCUAUUCUUGACUGCACGAGGAUGCAGGUUUAUGACUAGGAUAAUGUCUUGCUUGAUAUUCCAAGCUCCUUUGAUAUUGUCAAGAAUUUCCAUAUAGAAUCAUCACACCUUCUUUUUUUGGAAGAAAUUGAUUGUAAGAUGCUAAAAGUUAUAAUUCAACUAUUCCUUCUUUUACAUUUAUCCUGGUUCUUUCACCUGUAUAUGCUAUCUACCAUUAUAAUGUAGCGUAAAGAAAGCUCUUUUGUACAACAAAUCAAAAUAGGAAAUUGAUUGUGAGCCGCAAAAAUUAGGAUUCGACUGCAUUCUUUAUUUUACAUUUAUCCUUUCUCUUUUACCUGUUUAUCUCCCAUUCUAACGUAGCAUGAAGAAAGCUCAUUUAUCCAACAAACCGAAAAAAGGGAAGCAUAACAAUGGUCAAAAUAUGAGUGGUGAGGCAUGGUUUCCCUUUGGCUUUCUGCAUUAAACUUGUCGCAAUUAAAUAGAUCAAGGCAAAAAAUGGAAAUUUGUGGAGAGAGUGGAAUCCAUAACUUUUUAAUGGGAUUUAUCUGUUCGAACAAUGAGAUAAUUUAAUAGAAUCCCCUGCAUAACCCUUUUCGUGAAAUGCUAUUUCAGUAUGUCACUUACCGAGUUAUCCUGAUUCUGAAGUUGUUCAGUUCUAAUAGACUAGACAGGUCUGCUGACUACUAGGUUUAAUGGCUGUCAAGGUUAGUACUGGUAAAUGAUGUGGAAUCAUAUCUAACUUUCCUUCCGAUGAGAUUUUGUGGAACUCACUUAGCACUGUUGGUAGGGUAUUCAGUUUUAUCUUUUCCCGUAAUAUAAUCAUAAAUGUAGUUUCUUAUUUUCUCCUUUAAGGGCUUUUAUUUUCGUUCAAGAAUCACAAUUAAUCCCAAUGAGGUUUAUAAAAUGGCCAUAAGGAAACUAAGUAAUCUGCUGGAAUCCUCGUGUUUAUGGGUGCUCCCAUAGGACAAAUUUGAGUGUAUAUGUGACGUCAGGAGGUGUUAUUACACUUUGAGAACUUCUGGCGAGAUUUAGAAACCAAAUAUGUUAUUUUAUUUUUUCAAUACAAGAUUCGGAGAGGAAGAGAUAGUAGCUGUUGAAGUUAUGAAGAAGAAAGGCCAGGUUUUCCUCUGUACUGGCUGCUUAUGUAUUCCUUUACCCGAAGCAACUUUGUCUGUAUUUGAGGGAUUGGCUGCAUUGACUUGUCUUGCUUUCCGAAUGUCCUUGUGCAAGUCAUCGGAGGUUGUAAUUGUAGUCAAGAGAACUGUUGCAUAUGUCUUGUUAAGACUUGUUUUUCAACCGUGGUGUAACAGUUGUUCCUACAUGAUAGGGGUUAAAAGUAGUUUAAAUUUUUCUGGAGAAGCCAGAUGCGACUAAAUAUCAGAUGCAGUUAACAUUGCUCUCAAUUUUCUUUCUUCAGUUUGACAUGCAAUUAUUGGGAUGAAGAGCAUGACCGGCUGGAAUACUGAAAGAGAACUUCAAAAAGCAGAAAGCAAGCACCCUGAAGAAAUUGAUUCACUGCAAUUUCCCAAUAGUUCUCAUUUUUUUCUUGUUCUUUGCAAUGAAAGGUUAGGUCCUUGAUCUUCGAAAGAAGAUGUAUUUGACGUGCAGGCACAUUGUUAUCUUUCUAAGAUUUGUGAAACUCUAAACGUCGAUGCCUUUGUGCAUGACUUUUCGAUAUGGCAAAUAUUAGACAUAUGGUUAAUACUGAAGUAACGUUUUGUGUUUCCUAGAUAGAACUCUGCUAAAAUCAGUUCAGUCACACACAAUAUUCUGAUAAUUAGGACCCAUGAUGAUUUAUUCAAAAGCAAAACUGAUAGUUUUUGUAGAUUGUGAAUUAUUGUUGCCUUUUGCAUCUAUUAGCCAUGUAUUUAUUGCGAAUGAGGGUAAAAAGGUCAUACUUCGUCUGUUACGCUGUAGUUAUUAUCCUAUCAACUUGUUGCUUGUCACACUUUAAAUUGAAGAGAAACUAUAUGUUGUAUACUCGUGUUAGUGCUCAACUAUCUUUGUCAAAUGCAAAGACUUGACGUCUUGACCUAGUCGAGAAUACGAGUAUCCAAGAAGAAGGUUUUUUUAAAUGGGUAAAUUGCAGCAAAUGUUCUUAACUUUUACAGUUCGUCUCCAACCUUUUUCUGGACAACUGAAUUCCCAACCUUCGAUAAAUCUUCAUCUUCUUUACAUCACUGCACCCCCAUUUUUUACAGUACAAGGAGGAUCUCUAUUGUCUUUUGCCAAAUAUGGCACUGAACAACUACCAUUUUUGGCAGAAUUCGAGAGGUGAGAAGUUCCCCCAUUCUGGGUUUUAUUGCUGAACAUGGGGGACUUCUCACCCAUUUUCUGAUAUUGUUGGCAACUUUUAUUUUUGGGGUCUUUCCAUGUCUAUGAAUAUAGUUUCUUUCAUAUUUUAAUUAAAAAUAAUGAAUCAUCAUUUUAUUUUAUUUUUUAGUUUUUUUUUUUUAAUGGUCCAAGGGGUUGACUAACAGAGAAUUGGAUUUCAUCCAUUCAUUUAGAAGAACGUUGCUAAUUAUCAAAGGCUGGGGAUCCAAGAGAUUGGGGACGUAAGUGCAAAAGUGAGUAAAGGUUGGGGACAUUUCAAUUCAUCAUUUUAAAAUUAGCUCUAAAGUACUUAUCCACUAAGGAUGAAAUACUUGUUGACGUUUUUGAGGAUAAGUAAUUGGAAAAUUCUACUCGUACAUAAUUAUUGCAUAUAAUGGUAUCCAUAAUGUGACGUGGCAAUCAUCCUGUUGUUGAUGUACAAGUGUGAGAUUUGAAUUAAAUGUUGAAUUCAAUGUCAUGUGUAAUUAUUGAUACCAUUAUGUGAACAAUUAUGUACACGUAGCACUUCCUUAGGUAAUUAGCCUCUCUGUUUUUAUCUCCUUUUCGAAUUUUGGUCUUGAUUUAUUCAUAAAAUUGAAUGUUCAAUCCUUCCCUGAAAUCUCUAUUCGAUUCUUCUACAAGAUAUGGGUAUGCAAGCCAUGUUUCAAGAAAGGUAAGAGAAUAGAAGAAAUCAUAUUUUCAUACAAUAUCUUAAUAGAAUUAUAUGUAAUGAUCAAUAAAUUAAGUUGAAUUCUAUCUUUUGACAGGAGCUUUCUAUCCUGACGUUGAAUAUGAGUCUCGCUCGUCCACUCCUACAAGAAAGGAUAGAAGGAUUGAGAGCCCCCCAGGGCACUUUUCCACUGGCAAAGGACGGACGCUGUCAAACCUGGCAGAGCAGAGGUCGUGAGUUCGAAACAUGGGGCUCUUGGAAGGCAAGGAUUUAUUCUUGGAAGGCAAGGGAACAUUUGGAAGGCAAUGAUUUAUUCUUGGAAGGCAAGUGGGAACUUGGAAGGCAAGGUGCAACUUGGAUUGGCUUGCUUGGCACUUUGUCAGACCAGGUGGGGAGCGCUCGGACCCUGACCAGUCGGAGGCACAUCCUGCGAUUAACCGGACUGUGUGAAGAGGGGCCGGAUCACAGACCCAAGGAUUAGUCAAGAAUUGGACACCUUGUAAAAAAAAAAAAAGGAUAGAAGGAUUGAGAGCAAUGUAGUUGGCGAAGUACUAUUUAGAUUUUGAGUUGUCUAACAAGUACUGUACGUGAUUUCAAGAGUUGAACAAGAAUGAAUAUCAUAUAAAAGAGUCAACACCAGUCUUUUCUUCUGAC
rnacentral:lncRNA from 1 species